UACGUAGGGUGCGAGCGUUAAUCGGAAUUACUGGGCGUAAAGCGUGCGCAGGCGGUUUUGUAAGCCAGAUGUGAAAGCCCCGGGCUUAACCCGGGAAUGGCAUUGGAUACUGCAGAUCUGGAGGAUCGGAGGGGGGACUGGAAUUCUUGGUGUAGCAGUGAAAUGCGUAGAUAUCAAGAGGAACACCAGUGGCGAAGGCGAGUCCCUGGACGAUACCUGACACUGAGGCACGAAAGCUAGGGGAGCAAACAGG
rnacentral:rRNA from 1 species